UACGUAGGCUGCGAGCGUUGUUCGGAAUUACUGGGCGUAAAGAGCGUGUAGGCGGUGCUCUAAGUUCGGUGUGAAAUCUCUCGGCUUAACUGGGAGGGUGCGCCGGAAACUGGAGUGCUCGAACGUGGGAGAGGAAAGCGGAAUUCCUGGUGUAGCGGUGAAAUGCGUAGAUAUCAGGAGGAACACCUGCGGUGUAGACGGCUUUCUGGACCAUUGUUGACGCUGAGACACGAAAGCGUGGGUAGCAAACAGG
rnacentral:rRNA from 1 species